rnacentral:rRNA from 1 species
GAUGAACGCUGGCGGCGUGCCUAAUACAUGCAAGUCGAGCGAACAGAUAAGGAGCUUGCUCCUUUGACGUUAGCGGCGGACGGGUGAGUAACACGUGGAUAACCUACCUAUAAGACUGGGAUAACUUCGGGAAACCGGAGCUAAUACCGGAUAACAUAUUGAACCGCAUGGUUCAAUAGUGAAAGGCGGCUUUGCUGUCACUUAUAGAUGGAUCCGCGCCGUAUUAGCUAGUUGGUAAGGUAACGGCUUACCAAGGCAACGAUACGUAGCCGACCUGAGAGGGUGAUCGGCCACACUGGAACUGAGACACGGUCCAGACUCCUACGGGAGGCAGCAGUAGGGAAUCUUCCGCAAUGGGCGAAAGCCUGACGGAGCAACGCCGCGUGAGUGAUGAAGGUCUUCGGAUCGUAAAACUCUGUUAUCAGGGAAGAACAAAUGUGUAAGUAACUGUGCACAUCUUGACGGUACCUGAUCGGAAAGCCACGGCUAACUACGUG